rnacentral:misc_RNA from 1 species
GAUGAAGAACGUAGCAAAAUGCGAUAAGUAAUGUGAAUUGCAGAAUUCAGUGAAUCAUCGAAUCUUUGAACGCACAUUGCGCCCGCCAGUAUUCUGGCGGGCAUGCCUGUUCGAGCGUCAUUUCAACCCUCAAGCACAGCUUGGUGUUGGGACUCGCGUUAAUUCGCGUUCCCCAAAUUGAUUGGCGGUCACGUCGAGCUUCCAUAGCGUAGUAGUAAAACCCUCGUUACUGGUAAUCGUCGCGGCCACGCCGUUAAACCCCAACUUCUGAAUGUUGACCUCGGAUUAGGUAGGAAUACCCGCUGAACUUAAGCAUAUCAAUAAGCGGAGGA